rnacentral:lncRNA from 1 species
CACGUGUCAUUUUUUGACAACUAAUUCGAUUUUGAUGAGUCAUACACCACAUGUACGAAUUAUGAGGCCCACAAUUCAAUCCACUGAACCCUAAUUAUUUUCUCGUCCAAUAGAAUUUAUUUCACCAAAAUUUCUUUGUCUACAAAUUGCCCCCACUUCCUGAUGCACUGUAGGUACGUGCUUAUCGCAUGUAGGAGGUGCAGCUUGAAGUACUCCCUUUUUCUUUUUUUCUUUUUUUUUUUGGGAAUGAUAUUAUUAAAAUAAUAUCCAAUAAUCACUUUGCUUCCAACGUUGGCUUUCUAUUUCCAACGUGAGCUUCCUUUUUUUCUUUUUUUUGGGUGAUAUUAUUAACUUAAUAAUAUCCAAUUUUGUUAAGAUUUUGUACGACAAAAUCCAAUAUUUUCCUAAACUAGGAAUGAAAAACCCUAGCACCACCAAGAGCUUUAAUGGCCUUUGGCUUUUUUUAAAUUGCAUACUCUCAUGGAUAUUGAGAUUAACCCAAUAGAACAGUGAAGACUCCUCUUGUCGGCAAGAAGGUUUACAGCUUUGAAGUUUGCAUAAUUUGAAUUCUCAGCAACCAAAGUGGUGAGAGUUGGCUUCUUUUCCUUCAGUUUGGUCUACGAAGAAACUUGUUGGUAAGACUGAAUCCACUCUUUAUUUCAUCAUUCCACGUCAAUUUUUUUUUAUUUUUCUUCUUUCUUCUAGCCACAAGAACCUACCCUUGGCAUGUUAUUCUUUCUUUGUGCCAGCGUCUUCUUCUUCUUCUUCAUUUUUUUUUUUUGGCAUUCCCACCAUGCAACAUCAAACUCAAUAUUGGCAUACUAUUGCUGUGAUUGCGUCGUCCUCUUUUUUUUUUUUUUUUUUUGUUUUGUUUUUUUUUUCUCUUCUAUUUUGGGUGCACUCCCACCAUACAAUAUUAAAUUCAAUAUUGGUAUGCUGUUGCCGUGCUUGCGUCUUCUUUUUUUUUUUAAAGAAAGUGAAGAACGUAGACGUCCUAUACCGCUUGGGUUUGAUCCAUCUCUCCGACUUGGUGAUAAUCCGCUCAAAUGCUUAGGCUUUACGUAAGUGGAGGAUGAGUGAAGAACGUAGACGUCCUAUACCGCUUGAGUUUGAUCCAUCUCUCCGACUUGGUGAUAACCCGUUCAAGCACUUAGGCUUUACGUAAGUAGAGGAUGAGUGAAGAACGUAGACGUCUUAUACCGCUUGGGUUUGAUCCAUCUCUCUAACUUGGUGAUAACCUGCUCAAGCGCUUAGGCUUUACGUAAGUGGAGGAUGAGUGAAGAACGUAGACAUCCUAUACCGCUUGGGUUUGAUCCAUCUCUCCGACUUGGUGAUAACCCGUUCAAGCGCUUAGGCUUUACGUAAGUGGAGGACGAGUGAAGAACGUAGACGUCCUAUAUUGCUUGGGUUUGAUCCAUCUCUCCAACUUGGUGAUAACCCGCUCAAGCGCUUAGGCUUUACGUAAGUGGAGGACAAGUGAAGAACGUAGACGUCCUAUACCGCUUGGGUUUGAUCCAUCCCUCUGACUUGGUGAUAACUCGCUCAAGCGCUUAGGCUUUACGUAUUGGAGGACGCCCAACUUGAUCGAGCACAGAUACUUUCCCAAAGAGACUUUUUUUUUUUUUCAAGAUUCACCAAAAAAAUGAUCCAUAGUGAAGCAGCUCGAUGUUGAACGAAAGAUGUUAAUGUAGCCCUGACAGGGUGAAUUGGAAGUCGAAUAGUGCCAAACUAAUGAGAAACUCCAAAUUUAUUUUAUUAUGUGACUGAACUCAAAGUGGUCUCAUGAGCUGCCUACGUACCCUUCUAGGAAAAGAAGAGAUCAAGUCAUGACGUAGUUCAAUAUUUUUUUUUUCUUUCAGUUUGCGGUUUUGGCUCAUGCAAGCGAGUGAGCAUUUGGUGCCUUGUGCAUUUUUGGCUCUUGCAAGCGAAGGAGCAUUUUGG